CACUUCCCUUCUGAAGCACGUUUCAGAGAUGGAUUGGUGCCUUCGGGAACUGUGAGACAGGUGCUGCAUGGCUGUCGUCAGCUCGUGUUGUGAAAUGUUGGGUUAAGUCCCGCAACGAGCGCAACCCUUAUCCUUUGUUGCCAGCGGUCCGGCCGGGAACUCAAAGGAGACUGCCAGUGAUAAACUGGAGGAAGGUGGGGAUGACGUCAAGUCAUCAUGGCCCUUACGACCAGGGCUACACACGUGCUACAAUGGCAUAUACAAAGAGAAGCGACCUCGCGAGAGCAAGCGGACCUCAUAAAGUAUGUCGUAGUCCGGAUUGGAGUCUGCAACUCGACUCCAUGAAGUCGGAAUCGCUAGUAAUCGUAGAUCACAAUGCUACGGUGAAUACGUUCCCGGGUCUUGUACACACCGACAAC
rnacentral:rRNA from 1 species